CGUAAAGAACCUGCCUCAUAGACUGGGACAACUAUUGGAAGCGAUAGCUAAUACCGGAUAACAGCAUUAACUGCAUGGUUGAUGUUUAAAAGUUGGUUUUGCUAACACUAUGAGAUGGCUUUGCGGUGCAUUAGCUAGUUGGUGGGGUAAAGGCCUACCAAGGCGACGAUGCAUAGCCGACCUGAGAGGGUGAUCGGCCACACUGGGACUGAGACACGGCCCAGACUCCUACGGGAGGCAGCAGCC
rnacentral:rRNA from 1 species